rnacentral:sRNA from 1 species
GCUGGGUGUGGUGGCACACGCCUGUAAUCCCAGAAGCUUGGGAGGCUGAGGCAGGAGGAUCGCAAGUUCAAAGCCAGCCUCAACAACAGGUAAGGCACUAAGCAACUCAGUGAGACCCUGUCUCUA